rnacentral:rRNA from 1 species
UACGGAGGGGGCUAGCGUUGUUCGGAAUUAUUGGGCGUAAAGAGCUCGUAGGCGGUCUGUCGCGUCUGCUGUGAAAACUCAGGGCUUAACCCUGAGCUUGCAGUGGGUACGGGCAGACUAGAGUGCGGUAGGGGAGACUGGAAUUCCUGGUGUAGCGGUGAAAUGCGCAGAUAUCAGGAGGAACACCGGUGGGCGAAAGGCGGGUCUCUGGGCCGUAACU